UACCUUCACAAUAUCAUGUAUGCAUAUAGAACUCCUCCUGAGUGUAAGCACGCACUUUGUACUCCCCCAUGAUAGGGUGAAGUCGGUGUACGAGUCACAAAUGAUCGGAGCCUACCACGGUGGAAGGCCAUGAAAGAGUGUUCAAAGCACUCUCACGCUUAUCAACUUAAUAAUGGUUUGGUUGAGGGUUUUAGGUCUCAUCAUAUAUAAGCAUGCAUUUUAAUCUUAUUAAAACAAUUUGGUCAUAUUACAACUAUUGGUCCAUGUGAUUGAUUUAGUUGUACAUGAUACUCCCACUAUGCUUGUAAAACGAUUUUUAAAGCAAGAGUAUAUGGUACUACUAACAUAAGGUUUGCAUUCAUUGAUGGACUAUAUAGUUGCCUUAGGGCCUUAGGAUGACUAUGAACCUUUGAUUCGAUCCAACACGAGCCUAGUGUUGAAUCUCGGUCUAGGGAUGGUGAUUGAUUUUAGUUACGCGUUUAAUCAUAUUAAGGCGUGUUUUUCUUAUUG
rnacentral:lncRNA from 1 species